GACGAACCGUGCAAACGUUAUUCGGAAUCACUGGGCAUAAAGGGCGCGUAGGCGGCUUUCUAAGUCAUGGGUGAAAUCCGGCAGCUCAACUGUCGCAGUGCCUUUGAUACUGGAGAGCUCGAGGGAGGUAGGGGUCUGUGGAACUUCCGGUGGAGCGGUGAAAUGCGUUGAUAUCGGAAGGAACGCCGGUGGCGAAAGCGACGGACUGGAUCUCUUCUGACGCUGAGGCGCGAAAGCCAGGGGAGCAAACGGG
rnacentral:rRNA from 1 species